CUGAGCUAUACUGAGAAGUAUCCUAAUUUUAGUUAUACCAAUAUGUGACGCAAUGAAAGAAUUACUUAUAAAUGUAUUCUUGUUUAUCACCUGAUCCCUCUAUAUUUUAUACACAAGGCUAAUUAUCCAGCUUUUCUCUCUAUUUAUCAAGCAGUCAUGCUCUCAUUCUACCACUAGAGGGUAGUGUUUACCAGCAUUUCAUUUCUUUUAACAAAUUAAAAUCUGUGAGAUGGUUUCCAAACAAUUUAACCAAACACGUAUUUAUGGG